AAUAAAUAAAUAAAUAAAAAUACGAUAUAAUAAAUAAGUAUACAGGUAGGUGCGCUGCAGUGGCGGCUAUAAUCCGCCCGAAAAGCGUAAUGCCGACCGACGCGCAUAAUGUUCUGUAUUAUUAUUUCGCGUACUUGUGUAAUUAGUGGCGGUCCCGCGCGAGAAUUUCGCACACCUGUCAUUGUGCGCAGAUCGCGUACCAUUUAUUUGUGUUAUUGAAUUAUAAUCGCCGGCGCACCGAAGAAUUCCGAAAAGCACGUGCGCGUGAUAUAAACAAACGUGAAAAACAUAUCCGAACGCCCGCCCGUUUAGAUUCCGAGCGGGCCGACGACCGUAUUAGUUGCCCCCGUCCGGCGCAUAACCCAUACGUGGUUCGUAAUUUUUCUGUUCCGCCUGCAAACGGCUUUUCCACAAGUACCGCUCUGAUAACCAAGCGUGUCGUCACGUCUUUUUCGGAAAGAAAAUUGUGCGCAUACCGGGGAGAUCGUUUUCCGAUUUUCCUCGUGUUUUCGGAAAACCCGAGAAAAACACGGGAAAAGAUGAAUAGUUUAUGACAAUAACGAUCUCUGUAAUUCGUGAUUUUCUGUUAGUUUGUUUUUUUUUUCUUUUUUCUUUUUUUUUUAAUAUAUAACAUAAUUCUAUCAGCCACUUAUGGACAUGGUCAAAUUUUCCAACACAUCCCCGCGAUUUAUAAACUAUUUAUAGUAGGCAUUUGAAAUGUAGAUUGUAAGAUGUUUAGUAAAUUUUAAAUUACAAUAUCUAUGGUUUCUUUUUCACUUU